rnacentral:rRNA from 1 species
CGUGCGGUUCUAUUUUGUUGGUUUUUGGAAUCGCCGUAAUGAUUAAUAGGGACAGUCGGGGGCAUUAGUACUCACAUGCUAGAGGUGAAAUUCUUGGAUUUAUUGAAGACUAACUACUGCGAAAGCAUUUGCCAAGGAUGUUUUCAUUAAUCAGGAACGAAAGUUAGGGGAUCGAAGACGAUCAGAUACCGUCGUAGUCUUAACCAUAAACUAUGCCGACUAGGGAUCGGACGAUGUUAUUUUUUGACUCGUUCGGCACCUUACGAGAAAUCAAAGUUUUUGGGUUCUGGGGGGAGUAUGGUCGCAAGGCUGAAACUUAAAGAAAUUGACGGAAGGGCACCACCAGGAGUGGAGCCUGCGGCUUAAUUUGACUCAACACGG